GCCUUACUCCAGCUAGCAAUGCAUUUCGCACAGCCCUGUGCAGCUUCUUGGAGUAGCCAAAAGCCUACGACGCAGCAGAAGGGAAGUUUGAUGUAAUUUUUUUAAGGGUUGAUUUUUAUAGGACAUUGAAUGAGGGAAAGGGGAGGAAGCCCAUCUCCUGCGCUCUCUCCUCCCACGCCCUCUCUCCCUCCUCCACCACAGGGGUGUGCGUAAAAAAAAAAAAAAAAAAAAAAACCCUCUUGCAAGACGGGGGUGGGGGGUCGUGCAGUUCUUCUUGCUGUUUGCCAAUAUGGCUUGAGGACUUUGAAUAGGUAGAUCGCUUUCAAGAGUGAAUGAGGGGGGAUGGAGACCUGCUUGGCGAAGGGGGUGUGGUGCGGUUCAAGGCUGUUUGUAGUACGAUCCAUACAGCGCACUGCUCCCUACGAUAGAAUUGUGUGCAAUGCGUUGCGAUUCGUGUUUGGUGGCUUUUCUGAAAUCCUGCGUGCAAUUGGUUGCUCUUCGAUGAAUGACAAGGAGGGGGGUAUAUGCCAGUAGGGUAUACGAGGGGCAUUCCACCAUCAGGGCCCCACGCCUGUUAAUCUCAUGUGGUUUUUGUUCGUUGCCGCUGCUUCCCAGCUCCCCUGUGCACUGGGUACCGAUAUCCCAAUAAGCAGAAGGCAAAUAAACUGAAAUCUACACGCAAAUACUUUUAGCGCAUAAGCAGGGUAACAUUGGCCAGGCUCUGAGAAUGUGGGGGGCUCAGCGGAGACCCGUCGUGCGUUGUUCUUUAUGUGAUGUACAAACCCAGCCAUUCAUAAUUUUAGUGAGAAGUACAAUGGUGGGUACGUGGGGGAGGGGGUGGGAUGGGAAGAGGCAGCCUCUAGUAAAAACAAAAUGUACAGGGGUGCUGGGCUACGAGCCAUUCUCACAUUAAAAGAUGUAUUUCCAUCAUAGACAUUGAGGAGGUGCCUUCCUGUGUGCUUUCAUUUCACUUGUUGCAGAUUUAGUUUCACUAUGAAAUCUGUCGAGAGAAAAGAAGAUUGAGCUGAUGAGCUUCUACAGAAAUACUCUGGGCCAGUGCGGCUUUUUGCUUACAGGAGCAACAGUCCAGGGUUUGAGCCCACCAUGAAAGCAGAAAUCGACUAAACCUAAUAUACCAGGUAGUCCUAUCAGCUCCCAUCAUGCUCUGUCAUUUAUGUAGCUAAUCCGGUGUACUUUAAUGUGUAAAUAAAUUGCACUUUGCUUUACAAUCCUAAUAAAGCCUUCCAAUCAUUUCUGUAUA